AAAAAAGUCUGCUACUCUUCUUGCUUAGUCUAGAACAGGACAGAGGGUUUCCUACCAGAGCACGGGUUCCUAGGAGACUGGAAAAAUGGAUCCGCAAGUUUCCGUCAACCGUCUGGAGAUUUUGAAACUUUUACUUGUCAUUAACGUAACUUUAAGGAGUUCUGCGUGGUUUUUGCAAAGCAUUGUGCCCCGUAGACAAAAAUGGCAAGAUGGUUUGAAUGACCCAUCAGAAAGAGGGUUGCAUGGUUGAAUGACCCAUCAGAAAGAGGGUUGUAUGGUUGAAGGACCCAAGCAUUGUGUCCCGUAGUCGAAAGUGGGAAAUGUGUAAAUCAGAAAAGGGUCUUGAAAGAUGGUCGUACGGUCGAAUGGCUCAUUAGAUGUUUGAUGGGUGCGUAAAUGAGAAAAAGCAUUAUGUCCCGUAGUCAUAAGUGGGAGAUGUGUAAAUAAGAAAGGCUCUUGAACGAUAGUUGUAUGGUUGAAUGACUCAUUAGGUGUUUUGGCCGGGGGGGGGGGGGGGGGUGAAUGAGAAAAAGCUUCGGAUUUGGCUAUUUAAACCCGAUUAAAAAAAUGGUUGUACGGUUGAAUGACCCAUCCGGUGUUUGAUGGACUAGUGAAGAACCGACUUGUUAUCCUUCCACCGACAGGAGAGGGAAGUGUUCGCUGCUCUGUGAAGCCAGCCUAGCGCAGUGCCCUCCACUUUAGGGGAUAUGAACUCCUGGCUUUCGCCGAAAGCCCAUGACCCUGCUCCCUACUUGGAAUGGGCAGGCCAGUGUAUAACCCCAUGCUAGCCCAACCUUCUGGCCCAAUCCAACCUCCAACCAUCUUAUAGCUCCCACUCGGGUUACAGGCCUGCGCUACCAGACCCAGCUGAAAGUGUGACCAUCUCCCUGGGUUUCUAAACAAACACUGGCUCCAUUCUGUGGACAAUGUGCUACUCACAUUGUAACUCCGAGGUACUUAAGGCUUGUGACUAACAAUGUCAGCCUUAUUCUGGACGAUAGAGAGAAAUAACGAAUACAUACUUUAAAGCAUCGGGAAAAAAAAAUACUGUCCAGGGAUUUAAUUCAACUUUCUGUGUGAAGCAGAUGAUUUGUAAAAGGAUACUCACAAUGUAACUCUGAGGUAUGCACGGCUUGUGGCUUAACAAUGUCAGCCUUGUUCUGGAUGAUAGAGAGAAAUAACGAAUUCAUAAUUCAAAGCAUCCGGAAAACAUUUCUCUCCGGAUUUAAUUCAACUGUCCGUGUGAAGCAGUGUAUUCAGUGAUUGUCGAAGCCUUGGCCUCUGUGCUGAAGCAUAUUUUGAUCUCACCGGACGUCCUCGUGCUCUCAAUGCUCAGUGAAAUACUCAUUUUCGGCCUUCUAGCUAUUGAAAGGUGAGCCGAAGACCAACAGAAUAGACAAAGGAAUGUGGACCUGCCUGUUCCGGGAAGCAUGUAUUAUGACUACUCUCAUAUUGCUGGUUGCUUGGUCAAGGGAAGCAUGAGAAGGUGUUGUACAUGUUAGGUGACAUUACGUCUGGUCCUGGGUAUAGGUUCACUCAAUGGCUGGAACUGGUUCGAAAACGCAGCAGCCAGUACCAGAAUCCGGCAUCCGGCCUUCUCCAACCACCCUCGUCGAAUCAGUAGCAUGCCCUUCUUAAGGACCCUGCACAUGGAACAACGACGAUGAUUGCCAAGUUUCUCUUUAUAAGAUCGGAUAUUUGAUCAAUAUCUGAUUAGCUCCAUUCGGCAAUGCCAUAUAGCAUGGCUUGAGUUUGUAUCAGACAGCAGAAGGCACUCAUCUUUCAUUGUGCUUAGCUGCCCGUCUGUGACUGGAGCAAGAAAAAUCUUCUGUCCUCGUAUCAAAUUCCUUCUCUGCCAUGCUGGCGGGAGCAAGAUGAAACUUUAAGAUUGUCGGGGUCUGAAAUUAUUUAACAAAAUAUAUUUGAUGAGUUGAUUUGGUGGGGUGUGCCAGGCCCGAGCAAUAGUGCAACGCUUGGGCGACACGUGAAGACCCCAAUAGCAAGCUAUUGUGACGGGCCUCCCCCCUUAAAAAAUAAAUUUAAUAUCGUGUGGACCUAUGGCCCACAUAUCAGAUAUUAAACUGAUAAGAACAGAUACUACACUUGAUCUUAGCCAAAAGGCCGAGAAAGGUAUGAGUGUUUUCUCGCACAUGAUAUUGCUUUUAAAGCUCAGCUAUUGUAGCUGUGUCAUAUUUAAUUCGAUGUGGUACUUGACUUUUCAUGAAUGUCUACAUUCACAGCUUGUCAGCCAUAGUUCUUGAGUGAGAACUACAGAUAUUAGAUGGAGCUAGCGGUGGAAACAGUUGGUUGACUUUGGAUGAAAUGAGAGAAUGCUGAUAUGGUAACCCAACGGAAUACUCUAAUACCCAGAUGAGUGUUUAUUAUUGAAAGAGAAACCUGUGGAAGAACUUGAUUAAAACUGAAACAUGAAUGUUAGUUGUACAGCUACCAUUAACAAUUCAUGUUGAUGUUGAUGUUGUCAGUAGAUUUAUAUUUGGGUCAGGUGCUUCAAGGACAAGUAAGUCGCAUCUGGGGAGGACAACCUUUACCUAAUUAUAUUAUAUCCAAUAAAAGGGCACAACUGUUAAACACUAGAAUUGCAGGGGCUGCGCGAACGCAGGCCCCCCUGUCACAAAUUAUGAUGUAGGCUCCACCACUUGGGUAGACCUUAGGCAAGCACCCCUCCGAUGUGCAAUGGAGGCCACUGACCCAGGCCAUGGGCCUUCAUGAUCACCCAUCGACCCCAUCCAGGUGUUGUACAUGUUAGGUGACAUCACGUCAGGUCCUGGGUAUAGGUUCACUCAAAUGGCUGGAGCUGGUUCAAAAACACAGCAGCCAGUACCAGAAUCCGGCAUCCGGCCUUCCCUAAGCACCCUCGUUGAAUCAGUAGCAUGCCCUUCUUAAGUGUAUCUGCUAGUAUGUGUACUCUGACAACAAAAAAGAAUGGUAUUUACUUGCAAGAGAUUCAGAAGGUGCUCUCUUUGAAGCUAAAGCAUUGGUCCACCAUGAGCUUGUUACUCCAGUUUUAGCAGAAGCAAUGGCAGUAAAGAAGGUGUUGAACUGGAUUUAUGAAAUGCAUUGGCCCAUGGUUACGUUGGAGUCUGAUUGUCUUGCCGUGGUUUAAGAUGGUUACGUUGGAGUCUGAUUGUCUUACCGUGGUUCAAGCAAUCAGGAGCAAAGCUCCAAUGAGGUCUCGGUUUGGUGUGUAUUUUUAAGUGUCAAACACAUCUUCUGAAUAACGUUAAGUUGUUAUUUGUUAAACCAUUUGCAGAUGGUUUCCCAUUAGCUUGCUUGCUAGGAAUCAUAUUUUUUUCUAGGUUGUAGGUUUGACAGGUGGUCUAUUUCUGUCAGCGUUAAAGAUUGUAUUGAGAUGUUUUAUUAAGUUAAUAAAUUCCCCUGCUUUUCGUAAAA